rnacentral:rRNA from 1 species
UACGGUAGGGUGCAAGCGUUGUCCGGGAAUUUAUUGGGCGUAAAGAGCUCGUAGGCGGUCUGUCGCGAUCUGCGUGUCGAAAACUCAGGGACUUACCCUGACUUGCAGUGGGUACGGGCAGACUAGAGUGCGGGUAGGGGAGACUGGAAUUCCGUGGUGAUAGACGGUGAAAUGACGACAGAUAUCUAAGAGGGAACACCUGGAGGUGGAAGACGGGUUGCUGGGCUGACACUGACCGGCUGGAGGCGACGGAAAUGCCAGGGGGACGGCAAAACGGGA